UAUUUGCACUCCGCAUCUCACUUCUACAUGUCUAGUCUACAUUUUAUAUAUAUUAUCUACACAAUACGUUAUCUCAUCUAAUCCUCACAACAACCAUAUGCAGUGGGAACUCAUGUCUUUGGACACAGGCAGAGAGCUUUGAGCUGGUGCUCUUCUGCAUUGAGCGACAACACCUUGGAAAAAGUAGAUGUGCUGGCCAAGUGCUCUUCACUCCACAGAGACACACUCACCAUUUUCUGGGAGCCCUGCACUUGAGACAUCGGGAACUAAACAAACGACAUAGGCCACAGCAGUACCCACCAGCCCACAUGUAUUCCUGAAGCCUGAAGGCAUCUUAUAAACGGUAUUGCCAGCCAAGGUUGUACAACCAAGGAGGCAGAAAACCCUCUGGGCGGCGGCAGCAGCACCGUGGAGAAGUCUAUUGGAUUGGAAACCAAUGACCUUUCAAAACUUGCCAUUGAUUGAGAAGCAAAUUUAGGCCAAAAAAAUAUGAAGAGCUUGUAAGGUUCAAGACCUUUUCCCAAGUCUGUUAUUUACAGACGCCACUCCGACCUGAGCCUGGAAGCUGCGCGCAUCUUGACUCUGAAGACUUUUGGCACUGUUUCAGGCUGCCUUAUGGAAUUCAACAAGAAUUUCCUGAGAAACCACACCAGGGGUUAUGAAGGAGAACAAGAUGGUGGUCCUGCCAAGAAUGGCACAACAACCUCUUCAGGGAAACAGGAAUUCAUGGUGCUAAGACUCUGAAUGGGGUGCCAACAGUGUGCUGAGGGCUCUACAGAAUACUGACGAAAGUGUUACGCCUCACCUAGAAUAUGCACAAUUUCUUCUCCGCUUUCACCAUGACUGCUUCCCAACAUUAUCCUGAGAGACAUCAGAGCAAGCAUGUGAAGAAAACCAUCUAGAGAUCUUGAUUCAUAUCUAGGACUAACAUUAAACCUUUCUCGGAAA